AUGAUUAAACCUAAAAAGAAUAUUGUUGAUUUCAACAAUAGCUCUAUUAUUGCAUCAAAAAUAUAUGAUUGUGGAAACUACAAUAUUUUAUUGUUAAAGCAACAAUAGUAUUUUCAUUUCAACAAUAUUUCUUUUUGUUUUGAAACUGCCUGAUUACGAAGCAGUGUGUUUAUUUUUAUGUGUUCUUUCUGACGCUAGAAUUUAAAAAAAGUAGAAAAACCUUUUGCGAGAAUAGUUUUCAAAAUCGAAGUGGAAGGUGGAAAGCUCACAAAAUUUAUUCGAAGCCACAGAAUUUGUGAAAUCAACAACAAUAAAUCUCGCAAAAACAUAGUCAUAUGUCGCGUUUCCAAGUGAUGCAUUUUCAGCCAUUAUGAUAAUUGGCAUGUUCGGCUAUUUCCCCCCUACUGAAGUAGCGAUGAAAUGUUGUGUAAAUUACUGUAAUAUUAUAAAAAUAAAAUGAAAAAAACCCUUAAUAAAACCUAA